rnacentral:lncRNA from 1 species
CUCCUCCUCUUCAUCUUCAUCUUCGUCAUCCUCCUCUUCCUCUGGCUCCAGUUCUAGUGACUCAGAGGGCUCCAGCCUUCCUGCUCAACCUGAGGUGGCACUGAAAAGAGGACAGAACUAGAGGAAAUGGACUUAAUUUUACAGCAGGAGGGAUGGCAGUUAGACCUCAAGAGGAACUCCCUGGGCUGGAAGGAUCUUCAGAGGUCAUCCCAUCCCUCUCCCUGCCUCCAGGCAGGACGGCCCCUCCCCAGCCAACCUGCACUCACAGGGGCCUCCCCAAGCUGCGGCUCUCCAAGGAAGGAGAUCACCCAGCUUCAGCUUCCACAUCUGAGUCCAGGGGCCUUAAUCCUUCAUCAGGGACAUUCUUGAGG